rnacentral:rRNA from 1 species
GACGAACGCUGGCGGCGUGCCUAAUACAUGCAAGUCGAACGCAGUGGGGACGGGUGAGUAACACGUGGGUAACCUCCCAUCAGAGGGGAUAACACUUGGAAACAGGUGCUAAACCGAUACUGAUGGAUGGACCCGCGGUGCAUUAGCCAGUCGGUGAGGUAACGGCUCACCAAGGCCACGAUGCAUAGCCGACCUGUGCGGGUGAGCGGCCACUCUGGGGCUGAGACACGGCCCAGGCUCCUACGGGAGGCAGCAGUAGGUAAUGUUCGGCAAUGGACGAAAGUCUAACCGGUCAACGCCGCGUGAGUGAAGAAGGUUUUCGGAUCGUAAAACUCUGUUGUUAGAGAAGCGGUAGCUAACCAGUAAGCCACGGCUAACUACGUGCCAGCAGCCGCGGUAAUAC